GAUGAACGCUGGCGGCGUGCCUAACACAUGCAAGUCGAACGGAGAUUACGGACGGAAGUUUUCGGAUGGAAGACUGUAAUUCUUAGUGGCGGACGGGUGAGUAACGCGUGGGCAACCUGCCCUAUACAGGGGGAUAGCAGCUGGAAACGGCUGGUAAGACCGCAUAAGUCGGUUAAAUCGCAUGAUUUGAUCGGGAAAUGAGCAAUCAGGUAUAGGAUGGGCCCGCGUCCGAUUAGCCAGUUGGCAGGGUAAAAGCCUACCAAAGCGACGAUCGAUAGCCGGACUGAGAGGUCGGACGGCCACAUUGGGACUGAGACACGGCCCAAACUCCUACGGGAGGCAGCAGUGGGGGAUAUUGCACAAUGGAGGAAACUCUGAUGCAGCGACGCCGCGUGAGUGAAGAAGUAUUUCGGUAUGUAAAGCUCUAUCAGCAGGGAAGAUGAUGACGGUACCUGACUAAGAAGCCCCGGCUAACUACGUG
rnacentral:rRNA from 1 species